UGACUGAGUGGCGGACGGGUGAGUAACGCGUGGGUAACCUGCCCUGUACAGGGGGAUAACAGCUGGAAACGGCUGCUAAUACCGCAUAAGCGCACGAGGAGACAUCUCCUUGUGUGAAAAACUCCGGUGGUACAGGAUGGGCCCGCGUCUGAUUAGCUGGUUGGCAGGGUAACGGCCUACCAAGGCAACGAUCAGUAGCCGGUCUGAGAGGAUGAACGGCCACAUUGGAACUGAGACACGGUCCAAACUCC
rnacentral:rRNA from 1 species